rnacentral:rRNA from 1 species
GACGUAGGGCGCGAGCGUUGUCCGGAUUUAUUGGGCGUAAAGAGCUCGUAGGCGGCUUGUCGCGUCGAAUGUGAAAUCUCAGGGCUCAACUCUGACAUUGCAUUCGAUACGGGCAGGCUAGAGUUCGGUAGGGGAGACUGGAAUUCCUGGUGUAGCGGUGAAAUGCGCAGAUAUCAGGAGGAACGCCGAUGGCGAAGGCAGGUCUCUGGGCCGAUACUGACGCUGAGGAGCGAAAGCGUGGGGAGCGAACAGG